CUUUUUGCCAUUUCUUGGGCCGCUCCCGCAGCAUAUAGAGGUUCCCAGGCUAGGGGUCCAAUCGGAGCUGUAGCCACCGGCCUACGCCAGAGCCACAGCAACGCAGGAUCCUCAGGAUCCGAGCCGCGUCUGCGACCUACACCACAGCUCACAGCAACGCCGGAUCGUUAACCCACUGAGCAAGGGCAGGGAUCGAACCCGCAACCUCAUGGUUCCUAGUCGGAUUCGUUAACCACUGCACCACGAUGGGAACUCCAAUGUUAGUCUUAUUUAACAUAUUAUUUAAUCCUCAUAUCUCUAAGACUGAGUUACCACAACUGUUUCCUUUUUACAAAUGCAGGAAUUGAGUCUUAGAGAGGGCAAUAUGUCCCUUAAAAGAUACACAGUAAGUGAUGACAGUAGCUUUCACUUAAGAAGUCUCAAAUCAAAAUGUUGGAACUUGACUGAGAAGAUAAAAAAAACUGAAGGAGCUAAAAUUUCAAGCAAUUUUAGUCUUUAGUAUAGGAUUAUUUAAAAAUUUUUAGGCCAACCCAUGAAAAAAUAGAGAGGCAGGACAGAUUUCAGGAAAUCUACAGUAAUGAUUAAGAAAUCUGAUACACCAGGUAAAAUUCCACUAAGUCAGUACUGCCUCCUUUCUGUCCCUGAUUCAUAAAGUGGGGAAAAACUCUCAGCAUAAAGGUUGGUAAUAAGGUUCCCAUGUAAAAAGGUUAAAUGUAAAGUAGAGAUGGAAGCUAUUUGAGUCAUGGUGCAAUUCAAAUGCAAAGGGUUCUUCUCGAAGGUUUUUAAGAGGUUCAUCUUCCUGGAUAGAUGCCGAAUAAGAGACUCCUGAGGGUUUCAGAUUUCUGAGGUCAGGGCUGUUUUAAAAUUGAUACAUGCAAUAGCCAAGACACGGAAUAAACCCAAAUGUCCAUCGACAGAUGACUGGAUUAGGGAGAUGUGGUAUAUAUACACAAUGGAAUACUACUUAGCCAUAAAAAAGAACAAAAUAAUGCCAUUUGCGUCAACAAGGAUGGAACUAGAGACUCUCAUGCUAAGUGAAGUAAGUCAGAAAGAAAAAGACAAAUACUAUAUGAUAUCACUUAUAUCUGGAGUGUAAUAUAUGGCACAAAUGAACCUUUCCACAGAAAAGAAACUCAUGGACUUGAAGAAUAGACUUGUGUUUGCCAAGGGGCAGGGGGAGGGAGUGGGAUGUAUGGGGUGCUUGGGGUCAAUAGAUGUAAACUAUUGCCUUUGGAAUGGAUUAGCAAUGAGAUCCUGCUGUGUAGCACUGGGAGCUAUGCCUAGUCACUUAUGAUGGUACAUGAUAGAGUGAGAAAAAAUAAUAUAUACAUGUAUGUAUAACUGGGUCACCAUGUUGUACAGUAGGAAAAAAAUGUAUUGGGGAAGUAACAAUGGAUUACAAUUAAAAAGAAAGGAAGAAAGAAAGGAAAAAAAGAAAGAAAGACAAAAACAAAACAAAGAGAAAAUACACAUAGUAAUAACUGCAUUAAAAAAAUAAAAAUGAAAUAUAAAUGCAUUUCCUUAACAAAUGGCUUUAUGAAAUGAACCAGGCUUUAGUUAACUUUCUCAGGAGAUUCAGAUUUGCAUGGUCCCUGACCCUAGAUCUGCAUUUACUACUCACGGGGCUCCAGCAAAUCACUGAGCUUCUCCAGGCUCAGGGGAGAAGCUUGUAUUUACCCAGUUUAGAGCUGGGAGUCUCCCAGCCCACAGAGUUUCUGCUUGAACCUCUGAAACUUAACUUCAGGAUACCCAGAAAACUCUGGUACUUUAAUUCACAUUGCCACUUUUUGAUUAGCAUAUCCAGCUGGUCAUAAAAAACUAAGGCAAUUUUUGUGUUUUCUUUGUAUUUUAUACCAACUUUUGAAACAUGGGAUUUAUCCCCAAAUUCUAGCAUUUGGUGAUAUAAUGGAGUUUCAAAUACUAUCUUAAAUCAUUUAUUAAAUAGUGAAAAGAUAAUUUACAUACUAUUCAUAUUUUCAAAGGGUUUCAUAAACUCAUGUAAAAUGCCCUAUCAAAAAUCUUAUUUUUAUAUUUUGAACUGGGACAGGUUCCAACAUCUGUUAAAAGACAACUGACAAAAAGAUAAAAAUUGUGUGUCGAGUUGGUAGCGGGGAGCCAACGGUUAUUUCCCUGCUGCUGAUUUUUGUUUUGUUUUGUUUCUUUAAUUGCAAUAUAGAUCAUUUACAGUGUCCCAUUAGUUUCAGGUGUACAGUAAAGUGACGCAUUUAUAUAUAUGUGUGUCUUCUUUUUCAGAUUUUUCUUACUAUAGCUUAUUAGGUCAUUGUAAGAUACUGAGUGUUACACAGUAGGUCCUCGUUGUCUACCUAUUUUAUGUAUAGUAGUGUGUAUAUGUUAAUCCCAGACUUCUAAUUUAUCCCUGGCCCCCUUUACUCUGUUAACCAUAAGUUUGUUUUCUAUGUCUGUGAGUCUAUCUCUGGAAGUAAGCUCAUUUGUAUCAUAUUUUUAGAUUCCAUAUACAACUGAUAUUACAUCUUUGACUUAUUUCACUUAGUAUGAUAAGCUCUAUUAUGAACUAAUAUGAUGAACUAAUAUGAUAGAUUCAUCCAUGUUGCUACAAAUGGCAUUAUUUCAUUUCUUUCUAUGGCUGAGUAAUAUUCCAUUUUAUAUAUAUAUACCAUUCUUCUUUAUCCAUUUAUCUGUGGAUGGACAUUUAGGUUGCUUCCAUGUCUUAGCUACUGUAAAUAGUGCUGCUAUAAACAUUGAAGUGCAUGUAUCUUUUUGAAAUAGGGUUUUCUCUGGAUAUAGCUCAAAAAUGGAAUUGCUGGAUCACAUGGUAACUCUAUUCUUAGUUUUUUUUUAAUGUUCUCCAUAAUGACUGAACAAGCUUACAUUUCCAGCAACAGGAAAGGAGGGUUCUCUUUUCUCCUCAUGCUCUUCUAGCAUUUUUUAUUUGUAGACUUUUUGAUGAUGGCCAUUCUGACUGGUGUGAGGUGACAGCUCAUUGUAGUUUUGAUGUGCAUUUCUCUAAUAAUUAGCAAUGUUGAGCAUCUUCUCAUAUGUUCUUUGGAGAAUGUCUUUUUAGGUCCUCUGCCCAUUGUUGAUGGGUUGCUUGGUUUGAUUUUUUUUUUAAAUAUAUUAAGCCGUAUGAGCCAUUUGCACAUUUUAGAAAUGAAUCUCUUGACAGUUUCAUCAUUUGCAAAUAUUUUCUCCCAUUCCAUAUAUUGUCUUUUCAUUCUGCUUAUGGUUUCCUUCGCUGUGCAAAAGCUUUUAAGCUUAAUUAGGUCCCAUUUGUAUAUUUUUGUUUUUAUUUCCAUUACUCUAGGAGAUGGAUCCAAAAAUAAUAUUGCUGCAAUUUAUGUCAAAGAGUGUUUUGCCUAUGUUUCCUCUAGGAAUUUUGGAGUAUCCAGUCUUACAUUUAGAACUUUAAUCCAUUUUGAAUCUAUUUCUUUACAUGGCGUUAGAGAAUGUUCUAUUUUAAUUCUUUUCAUAGAGUGGUCCAUUUUUCCUCACACCACUUAUUGAAGAGACUGUAUUUUCUCCAUUGUAUAUCCUUGCCUCCUUUGUCAUAGAGUAACUGACCAUAGGUAUAUGAGUUUAUUUCUAGACUUUCUAUCCUAUUCUAUUGAUCUAUGUAUCUGUUUUGUGUCAGUACCACACUGUUUUGAUGACUGUAGCUUUGUAGCAAGUCUGAGGUCAGGAAGUGUAAUUCCUCCAGCUCCAUUCUUCUUUCUCAAGAUUCCUUUGGCUAUUCAGGAUCUUUGGUGUUUCCAUACAAAUUUAAAAAAAAUAAUUGUUCUAGUUCUGUGAAAAAUGCUAUUGGUAAUUUGAUAGGGAUUACAUUGAAUCUGUAGAUUGCCUGAGGCAGUAUGGCCAUUUUCAUGAUAUUGAUUCUUUCAACCCAAGAACAUGGCGUAUCUUUCCAUCUCUUUGUGUUGUCUUCAGUGUAUUUCAUUACAGUUUUUGGUGUACAGGUCUUUUACCUCCUUAGGUAGGUUUAUUCCUAGGUAUUUUAUUCUUUUUAACAUGAUGGUAGGAGGGAUUGUUUCCUUAAUUUAUUUCUCCGAUAGUUUGUUUUGAGUAUUUAGAAAUGCAGCAGAUUUCUGUUUAUCAAUUUGGUGUUCUACAACAUUAUCAAAUUCAUGGAUGACUUCUAGUAGUUUUCUGGGAGCAUCUUAAAGAUUUCUAUGAGGCAGCUGGUCCCAGGGUAGGGGCUGGCUUCUGUUUGCAAACUAAAUGUUCUGCAGGAUAAGAGAUUGUAAUCCUCAUGCUUCCGGUUUCUGACCCCUAGUGGGUGAGGCUAGUCUAGAGGCUUGUGCAGGAUUCCAGUAGCUGACCACUGGUGAAUGGAACUGGGCCUUGGCCCUCUGGUGGGAAGUGCUGUGUCUAGAGGGCAGGUCUAGAGGUAGCCGUUGGUA
rnacentral:lncRNA from 1 species